UUAAGUUAUUAAGGGCGCACGGUGGAUGCCUUGGCACUAGAAGCCGAUGAAGGACGUUACUAACGACGAUAUGCUUUGGGGAGCUGUAAGUAAGCUUUGAUCCAGAGAUUUCCGAAUGGGGAAACCCAGCAUGAGUUAUGUCAUGUUAUCGAUAUGUGAAUACAUAGCAUAUCAGAAGGCACACCCGGAGAACUGAAACAUCUUAGUACCCGGAGGAAGAGAAAGAAAAUUCGAUUCCCUUAGUAGCGGCGAGCGAAACGGGAAGAGCCCAAACCAACAAGCUUGCUUGUUGGGGUUGUAGGACACUCUAUACGGAGUUACAAAGGACGACAUUAGACGAAUCAUCUGGAAAGAUGAAUCAAAGAAGGUAAUAAUCCUGUAGUCGAAAAUGUUGUCUCUCUUGAGUGGAUCCUGAGUACGACGGAGCACGUGAAAUUCCGUCGGAAUCUGGGAGGACCAUCUCCUAAGGCUAAAUACUCUCUAGUGACCGAUAGUGAACCAGUACCGUGAGGGAAAGGUGAAAAGCACCCCGGAAGGGGAGUGAAACAGAACCUGAAACCGUGUGCUUACAAGUAGUCAGAGCCCGUUAAUGGGUGAUGGCGUGCCUUUUGUAGAAUGAACCGGCGAGUUACGAUUUGAUGCAAGGUUAAGCAGUAAAUGUGGAGCCGUAGCGAAAGCGAGUCUGAAUAGGGCGUUUAGUAUUUGGUCGUAGACCCGAAACCAGGUGAUCUACCCUUGGUCAGGUUGAAGUUCAGGUAACACUGAAUGGAGGACCGAACCGACUUACGUUGAAAAGUGAGCGGAUGAACUGAGGGUAGCGGAGAAAUUCCAAUCGAACUUGGAGAUAGCUGGUUCUCUCCGAAAUAGCUUUAGGGCUAGCCUCAAGUGAUGAUUAUUGGAGGUAGAGCACUGUUUGGACGAGGGGCCCCUCUCGGGUUACCGAAUUCAGACAAACUCCGAAUGCCAAUUAAUUUAACUUGGGAGUCAGAACAUGGGUGAUAAGGUCCGUGUUCGAAAGGGAAACAGCCCAGACCACCAGCUAAGGUCCCAAAAUAUAUGUUAAGUGGAAAAGGAUGUGGCGUUGCCCAGACAACUAGGAUGUUGGCUUAGAAGCAGCCAUCAUUUAAAGAGUGCGUAAUAGCUCACUAGUCGAGUGACACUGCGCCGAAAAUGUACCGGGGCUAAACAUAUUACCGAAGCUGUGGAUUGUCCUUUGGACAAUGGUAGGAGAGCGUUCUAAGGGCGUUGAAGCAUGAUCGUAAGGACAUGUGGAGCGCUUAGAAGUGAGAAUGCCGGUGUGAGUAGCGAAAGACGGGUGAGAAUCCCGUCCACCGAUUGACUAAGGUUUCCAGAGGAAGGCUCGUCCGCUCUGGGUUAGUCGGGUCCUAAGCUGAGGCCGACAGGCGUAGGCGAUGGAUAACAGGUUGAUAUUCCUGUACCACCUAUAAUCGUUUUAAUCGAUGGGGGGGACGCAGUAGGAUAGGCGAAGCGUGCGAUUGGAUUGCACGUCUAAGCAGUAAGGCUGAGUAUUAGGCAAAUCCGGUACUCAUUAAGGCUGAGCUGUGAUGGGGAGAAGACAUUGUGUCUUCGAGUCGUUGAUUUCACACUGCCGAGAAAAGCCUCUAGAUAGAAAAUAGGUGCCCGUACCGCAAACCGACACAGGUAGUCAAGAUGAGAAUUCUAAGGUGAGCGAGCGAACUCUCGUUAAGGAACUCGGCAAAAUGACCCCGUAACUUCGGGAGAAGGGGUGCUCUUUAGGGUUAACGCCCAGAAGAGCCGCAGUGAAUAGGCCCAAGCGACUGUUUAUCAAAAACACAGGUCUCUGCUAAACCGUAAGGUGAUGUAUAGGGGCUGACGCCUGCCCGGUGCUGGAAGGUUAAGAGGAGUGGUUAGCUUCUGCGAAGCUACGAAUCGAAGCCCCAGUAAACGGCGGCCGUAACUAUAACGGUCCUAAGGUAGCGAAAUUCCUUGUCGGGUAAGUUCCGACCCGCACGAAAGGCGUAACGAUUUGGGCACUGUCUCAACGAGAGACUCGGUGAAAUCAUAGUACCUGUGAAGAUGCAGGUUACCCGCGACAGGACGGAAAGACCCCGUGGAGCUUUACUGUAGCCUGAUAUUGAAAUUCGGCACAGCUUGUACAGGAUAGGUAGGAGCCUUUGAAACGUGAGCGCUAGCUUACGUGGAGGCGCUGGUGGGAUACUACCCUAGCUGUGUUGGCUUUCUAACCCGCACCACUUAUCGUGGUGGGAGACAGUGUCAGGCGGGCAGUUUGACUGGGGCGGUCGCCUCCUAAAAGGUAACGGAGGCGCUCAAAGGUUCCCUCAGAAUGGUUGGAAAUCAUUCAUAGAGUGUAAAGGCAUAAGGGAGCUUGACUGCGAGACCUACAAGUCGAGCAGGGUCGAAAGACGGACUUAGUGAUCCGGUGGUUCCGCAUGGAAGGGCCAUCGCUCAACGGAUAAAAGCUACCCCGGGGAUAACAGGCUUAUCUCCCCCAAGAGUUCACAUCGACGGGGAGGUUUGGCACCUCGAUGUCGGCUCAUCGCAUCCUGGGGCUGUAGUCGGUCCCAAGGGUUGGGCUGUUCGCCCAUUAAAGCGGUACGCGAGCUGGGUUCAGAACGUCGUGAGACAGUUCGGUCCCUAUCCGUCGUGGGCGUAGGAAAUUUGAGAGGAGCUGUCCUUAGUACGAGAGGACCGGGAUGGACAUACCUCUGGUGUACCAGUUGUCGUGCCAACGGCAUAGCUGGGUAGCUAUGUGUGGACGGGAUAAGUGCUGAAAGCAUCUAAGCAUGAAGCCCCCCUCAAGAUGAGAUUUCCCAACUUCGGUUAUAAGAUCCCUCAAAGAUGAUGAGGUUAAUAGGUUCGAGGUGGAAGCAUGGUGACAUGUGGAGCUGACGAAUACUAAUCGAUCGAAGACUUAAUCAA
rnacentral:rRNA from 1 species